UACAGUUUCAAAAUAGAUAAGCACUCCAGGAAUCUUCUAUAUUAUAGAAGAUUCCUGGAGUGCUUACCUAUUUUGGAACUAC